GUUCCUAUAGUUGAGUUACAACGAUGAUUUUUCAUAUCAUAGGUCAUAGUUUAAUACUAUGUGGGAAUG
rnacentral:tRNA from 1 species